GGGGCUUUGCGUGCUGCCCGGUCUGGGGAAAGCAGCGCCGGCUCCACCAUUGGUGCCACAGCAGCAGGGAGGGGAGACUGAGUAAUCCGGUUCGUAUUUGUUUUGUAAUGUGGAAACUGCUGCACCGCCCGGGCAUGGACUUCCGCAAACGUAACUGCACUUGCAAACAAAGGCGCUGCGGAGCAGGGUGCCCGGGGUUGCGUGCGGAGGAGCCAUCCCCCGACAUGCACCUGCCCGUCGGCAUGAAACCCCCCUGCCCGGCCAGCGAGCUGUUGUCUUUUUACAUCGACAGAUGUCAUCUCUGCACCACUGCCAAGCUAGGAUACCUGCAGUUAUUGUGGAGGGUGUGUUGAGUAUCGGAUGCUUGUGGUGAGCUAUGGCGGCUGAUGAUAAAGUUGCCAUCUUAACUGAUGAUGAAGAAGAGCAGAAGAGAAAGUAUGUGCUUGCUGAUCCUUUCAAUGGAAUUUCCAAGGAGCAAGAUCUCCAGCCCCAAAAUGAAACCCCUUCAACUGAGACCACCACUGUCCCAGAUGAGGAGCUAGACUGGUUAGAAAGGCACUGUGUCAAAAUAAACAAUGAUCUUCUGAUCUCCAAGGUCUUUUAUUUUUUCUUUUAUUCUGCAUAUGGCUCCCUUUACCCAUUGCUUCCUGUGUAUUAUAAGCAGCUGGGCAUGUCGCCUAGUCAGAGUGGACUUCUGGUGGGCAUUAGGUACUUUAUUGAGUUCUGCAGUGCUCCUUUCUGGGGAGUGGUGGCAGAUCGCUUUAAAAAAGGGAAAGUUGUCCUUCUCUUUUCACUUUUAUGUUGGAUUUUAUUUAACCUGGGGAUUGGAUUUGUUAGACCAGCUACCUUAAGAUGUGUACCAAAGGUCCCUCCACCACCACAUCCUUCCAAUGCCAGCCACCUUUUAACAUCACUGCCGCAAAAUGCCACCAUUCCUUCUCUACUAACUACAGCUAGUGCUACGUUGCAGAAGGGUCGUGGGAAGCGGGACCUGUUAGCUAACAGUCUCCCAACUUUGGAAUUGUUUCCAUUUUCUGCUCAGACUAGAAAUGGAGACCUUGCCUUGGAUAACAACAAUACAAAUUUUCUUUCAAAGAAUACCACCACAAACCCAGGACUGCCAGGAAAUAUGACCCACCCUACAUCACCACCUGUUGUCACCACGAAGCCAGUAUUUUCUGACCACGUCAUGCUGGUUUAUGAUCAUCAAGAAGUAGAAGCUAUCUUUCUACUCAUUCUCUUGGUUGUCAUUAUAGGAGAGUUUUUCAGUGCCUCAUCUGUUACCAUUGUGGACACUGUGACUCUCCAAUACCUUGGCAAACAUAGGGAUCGCUAUGGCUUGCAGCGGAUGUGGGGCUCUCUGGGCUGGGGACUGGCCAUGCUGUCGGUGGGAAUUGGUAUAGACUAUACCCGUAUAGAAGUGAUCAUCGAAGGUCUAGGAUGUAAAGCUCCUGAGUACAAGAACUACAGGAUUGUUUUCAUAGUCUUUGGUGUACUGAUGUCAAUGGCGCUUAUUGUGGCCACCCAGUUCAGAUUCCAUUAUAACCACUACAAAGAAGAUGAAAACAAGAGGAAGGAAGUAGAGAUCCCACAGGUGGAUGGAAAUGCCUCCACUGAAUCCUCUGAUGACACCCCCAGCAGCAUAAGCCAGUCUCAGUCAUUCAGUUUUUGGGACCUGAUAAAGCUCCUUUGCAGUAUACAGUAUGGGUCUGUGCUGUUUGUGGCUUGGUUUAUGGGGUUUGGGUAUGGGUUUGUGUUCACCUUUCUCUACUGGCACUUGGAAGACCUGAAUGGCACUACCACCCUCUUUGGAGUCUGUUCUGUCUUGAGCCACGUGUCUGAGCUGACUGCCUACUUCUUUAGCCACAAGUUGAUUGAACUGAUUGGUCACAUCAGAGUGCUCUAUAUUGGCCUUGCCUGUAAUACAGCUCGCUACAUUUAUAUCUCCUAUUUGGAAAAUGCCUGGACUGUUCUCCCUAUGGAAGUACUUCAAGGUGUAACCCAUGCAGCCAUAUGGGCAGCUUGUAUUUCGUAUCUUAGUGCUGCAGUGCCUCCAGAAUUAAGAACUUCAGCUCAGGGGAUUCUACAAGGUCUCCACUUGGGUCUGGGCAGAGGAUGUGGGGCUAUGAUCGGAGGGGUUUUGGUCAACUAUCUUGGGGCUGCUGCAACAUUCAGGGGGAUAGGAAUGGCCUGUUUAGUGAUCCUACUACUCUUUGCAUUAAUCCAGUGGCUAGCAGUUCCUGAUGAAAAAGAAGAGAAGACAAUGCUGGCAGAAAGGAUCCCAGUGCCUUCCAGCCCUGUUCCCAUAGCAACCAUUGACCUCAUACAUCAACAGUCAGAAGAUAUCAUGCCUCGAACUGAGCCCAGACUUCCUCCCAAGAAAACGAAGCACCAAGAAGAACAGGAAGAUGUGAACAAGCCUGCGUGGGGGAUCAGUUCUUCUCCUUGGGUUACUCUGGCUUAUGCUGUCUAUCAAAUAAAGGAGAUGGUACAGCUGUCUAAAACCAAUCUGAUGCCUGAAAACCAGCCUUUGCAGUGUUCACAUUACAGAAUCCCCCAGCACCCUUAUUAGGAAUCUUGGCAGAAGGGCCAAGGACUGGACGGACUCAGAGACUGGACUAUCAUCCGAUCUUUUGGGGUGCUCCCUCCAGAACGGAGUUGGAGCACAGUGGUUGUUGGUGAGGCAAUGUAGGGAAACUUGUGCUGCUGCUGUCAAUGCUCGUUUUUAAAACAGUGUGGGUAAUAAACUUCCUGUUUCUCCUGUCUGCCUGGGGGAGGAGUGGUGCAGCUUCCCCCAUACAUAUUUGCCAUCCCAUAUGCACUCAAAUGUCAUUUCCACCUGUCCUACCUCUGGAAGGUGAUGAUUUUGGACGUGACUUUGCAGAUGUGCCAAAGCAACAUUUGAAGAAAUCCCAACUUCACCAGCUGUCUCCCUCCUCCCCCAUUGGCCUAUAUUCUUGUAAACAGCCCUAUGCAUAUAUUCCCUUCUCAAUAUGCACGCUGAGCUUCCAUUAGCUUUAAUGAGACUAACUUGCAUGCCUCAGGGAGAGUGAGCAUCCAUAUUGAAAUGACUCUAGAAUGUCUGUUUAUACUGUGCAAGAAGAAUUUCAGACACACACAUCUUGGAAAAAUCAAAUGUCUCCUUUUGAAUUACAAUGAAAUCCUCAUUGACACAAUGCUGUUGUGUUACACUCUCUACGCAUGCCACUCGCCCAAGCAGUUUUCCAUCAGUCUUCUCGUAAGCAGUUAUCAAUAUAAGCCCGGCCCUGUCGGUCGCAUCAAUUGCAAAUUGGAGAAUGGCAGUCACACAGAAUCUGCCAUACCUCCCAGGCAAGAAAACUGGUUUGUUGUUUGUGGUAAACUCUCUAGGAGAGAGAAUCAACAAAUGUUCAUAGUAUUGGAGAUACUCUCAGUAAAUGACUUGAGCAAUUAGGAAUUGCCUCCUAUAAUUCCCUGCCAUCUUCAGGAACAUGUUCUCUUAAUAACCUCUUUUCCCCUUCUCAUAACUUCAUGCAGCUAUUCAUGGAGCCUUUUUAUUAAUACUAUUACAUUUUGGGCGUCGCAUUAUCUACUCCACAUGUGACUGACAGAAUUGAGGACCAUUCCUUAGAUAGGAUUGUUAGUAUUUAUGGGAACAACGAAUCUUUGUUGGGAGAAAAUUGUUUCCAUGGGAUAGUUUUAUUAAGGCCCCAAUCCUGCAGUUGGAUCUGCACUGGUAUAUCUUUGCACCCAUGCAGUUCCCCACUGUCUCUCAUUAAGGCCUGUGUUUGUAGGGUCAAACAUCAAAAACCCUAUUUCUUGCUCAACCAAAUCCAGAUUUUAAAGUUAGGCUAAAUAUGACCCUUAAUGUUUCCUCCCUCCCCUGGCUGGUUGCACUUGUAUCAGGGCAGUCUGCUGUUCUGCAACUGGCCAGUUUCAAUGAUCUCUGUCUUCCAGAUUGUGAAUAAAAGAUGGCUAAAGAGCAUUCAGCCCUACCACCAUGACAAGAAGACACUUAAGCGCCUGCAAAGCAUAGCUUCUUUUCCCACUGUAGUGUAUGUAAAAUUUUGGUAUUUAAAAACUAGUGUAGACCCAGAAUGAAGCAAUAUUCCACACCCUCCAUUUGAAGAUGCACGCAUGAUGCAUCUCAGCUCCAUGAAGCUAGAGAUAUAUUUAAUCAUUUCAGCUCCUUGGAGAAAUUGCCUACUUUUACAGAACACACCCACAUUUUAAUUCUAAAAAUUAAAAAAACAAACUCCCUAUGCAUUGCUGUUGCUUUAUUUCACUUAUUCUUUUAGCCUGAAUUUAACAAAAUACUAAACCCAGAAAAGGCUACCUAGCUAUCUUGUUAAACAUUUUAAAUGCCAUUCCUAAAGAAUUAAUUUGACAGUUGGUCAUUUGGAGGAGAAACUUGGGCAUAGAAAAGGGGAUUAAUGACAGAAAAACUUUGGUUCCUCAUUUCACAUUACUGCUUGCUUAUAGUAAUCCUUCAAGGAAAGGCGCAUGCUCACCACCCUAAUUACUUGAUACAAAACAAAUCUUCCAAGAUAAAUCCUGAGGUUAGAAGAUGUGGUAGUACUAAUAUUGUACAAGACUUUUUUUGUCUUUGGCCCUCAGGGAAUGCAGCUAGCAUUUGUCUUUAAAAUAAGAUCACAUAAUCUGGGAAAGCUUUUAAAAAUGUGCACUGAGCCUUUCAGAAAAUUGUUCUCAACUAUUUUCUUCUUGACUGAACCAGAGAAUUGCCUGCUUGAAUCACUGACCUAACCAUUUUUACUAAGAAAAGGCCUAUUGCUAAGUAAAUUGGAUGACAUUUAUGUGCUUUUACUGCAAAAGUGGUGUCACUCAGUGGCUCGGAGAAAUAUCUUACUUAGAAAAAAAUGUUAAGGAAAUAUAGGUGGAUUUGCAGAAGGGAGCAUGAAGUAUGUUUUAGCAAACAAUGCAGUCAUAAUGAUUAUUGUUGUCUGUAUACAGUAGAAGACUAUUCAUAGUUUUUGUCUUAAAACAUAGCGAGUUUGUUUUUUGCAUGCUUCUUGUGGAAGUGCAGUUAGGAAAAAAAAUGGAAGAAAGCCAGUGAGAAUCAGAGUGUUCCAGCAGCCAGUCCAACAGAACAGCCCCGAAAUCUGAGAGAAACUGAUGAAUCCAGAGAUUAUUCAAUACCUGCAGCGACACUCAACUCCCAAACUGACCCAGAGC